rnacentral:rRNA from 1 species
GAUGAACGCUGGCGGCGUGCCUAAUACAUGCCAGUCGAGCGAACAGAUAAGGAGCUUGCUCCUUUGACGUUAGCGGCGGACGGGUGAGUAACACGUGGGUAACCUACCUAUAAGACUGGGAUAACUUCGGGAAACCGGAGCUAAUACCGGAUAACAUUUGGAACCGCAUGGUUCUAAAGUGAAAGAUGGUUUUGCUAUCACUUAUAGAUGGACCCGCGCCGUAUUAGCUAGUUGGUAAGGUAACGGCUUACCAAGGCGACGAUACGUAGCCGACCUGAGAGGGUGAUCGGCCACACUGGAACUGAGACACGGUCCAGACUCCUACGGGAGGCAGCAGUAGGGAAUCUUCCGCAAUGGGCGAAAGCCUGACGGAGCAACGCCGCGUGAGUGAUGAAGGGUUUCGGCUCGUAAAACUCUGUUAUUAGGGAAGAACAAAUGCGUAAGUAACUGUGCACGUCUUGACGGUACCUAAUCAGAAAGCCACGGCUAACUACGUG